rnacentral:rRNA from 1 species
AAUCAACGCUGGCGGCGUGCCUCAGACAUGCAAGUCGAACGAUUAAACUUUCCUUCGGGAAAGAUAUAAAGUGGCGCACGGGUGAGUAACACGUAAGUAAUCUGCCUUCGAGUGGGGAAUACCUUCGGGAAACCGAAGAUAAUACCGCAUAAUGCAGCGGCACCGCAAGGUGACAGUUGUUAAAGGAGCAAUCCGCUUGAAGAGGAGCUUGCGGCAGAUUAGCUAGUUGGUAAGGAACGGCUUACCAAGGCUACGAUCUGUAUCCGGUCUUAGAGGACGGUCGGACACACUGACACUGAAUAACGGGUCAGACUCCUACGGGAGGCAGCAGUCGGGAAUUUUGGGCAAUGGGCGAAAGCCUGAUGCAGCAACGCCGCGUGCGGGAUGACGGCCU